GUAAAUAGGGUGUAUCUCGUCUCGUGAAAUUUGUGUUCUAAAAAGAGAGAAGAGAAAAGAAACAAGAUGAAGAAAAAGAAAAAAAAAAUAUACAAAAAAAAAGAAAAAAGAAAAAAAAAGUUUUGUGAAUAAUGGAGUCAAGAAGAGGAUUGAAUUAGAGGUUUUAGGUGUGAUUUAAUUGUAUUUUCACUUAUUCCCCAUUGCUCCUCUAUUCCUUUUGGUUUGUAGCUUCUCAUCCAUAUUAUAUCCUCCCUUGUCCUUG
rnacentral:lncRNA from 1 species